CGGACAUUUCCCCGCUUUGCUUGACACUUCUCCAUUGUGCUGCCAUAUGAAGAAGGACGUGUUUGCUUCCCCUUCCACCAUGAUUUUUAGUUUACUGAGACCUUCCCAACCCUGCAGAACUGAAGUUCAAGCUGCUAGAUGGACAGGUCAAAUGAAGAAACAGAUGCCUGACCACUACUAAGCUGUAACUGAUACUGCAGUUGAGAUACAAGAUGUGAAUCUAAAAGAAAUCACCUCGGAUGUCUAGCCCUGUCCUCAAAUAAUUUCAGCUCGGCUGUCUCAUGACUACAACCAUACAAGAAACCCCAACAGCCAACAUAUGGAAACAACCUAAAUG
rnacentral:lncRNA from 1 species